AUUGAACGCUGGCGGCAGGCCUAACACAUGCAAGUCGAACGAGUGGCGGACGGGUGAGUAAUGUCUGGGAAACUGCCCGAUGGAGGGGGAUAACUACUGGAAACGGUAGCUAAUACCGCAUACCAUCGGAUGUGCCCCGAUGUGAUUAGCUAGUAGGUGGGGUAAUGGCUCACCUAGGCGACGAUCCCUAGCUGGUCUGAGAGGAUGACCAGCCACACUGGAACUGAGACACGGUCCAGACUCCUACGGGAGGCAGCAGUAGGGAAUAUUGCAAAAUGGGAGCAAGCCUGAUACAGCCAUGACGCGUGUAUGAAGAAGGCCUUCGGGUUGUAAAGUACUUUCAUCGGGGAGGCGUUACCCGCAGAAGAAGCACCGGCUAACUCCGUGCCAGCAGACGCGGUAAUAC
rnacentral:rRNA from 1 species